UACGGGGGGGGGCAAGCGUUUGUUCGGAAUUACUGGGCGUAAAGGGUUCGUAGGUGGCCAACUAAGUCAGACGUGAAAUCCCUCAGCUUAACUGGGGAACUGCGUCUGAUACUGGUUGGCUUGAGUGCAGGAGAGGAACGCGGAAUUCCAGGUGUAGCGGUGAAAUGCGUAGAUAUCUGGAGGAACACCAAUAGCGAAGGCAGCUCGCUGGGACGGUACUGACGCUGAGGCGCGAAAGCGUGGGGAGCGAACGAGG
rnacentral:rRNA from 1 species